rnacentral:rRNA from 1 species
AUUGAACGCUGGCGGCAGGCCUAGCACAUGCAAGUCGAGCGGUAACACAGGGAGCUUGCUCCUGGGUGACGAGCGGCGGACGGGUGAGUAAUGUUUGGGAAACUGCCUGAUGGAGGGGGAUAACUACUGGAAACGGUAGCUAAUACCGCAUAACGUCGCAAGACCAAAGAGGGGGACCUUCGGGCCUCUUGCCAUCAGAUGUGCCCAGAUGGGAUUAGCUAGUAGGUGGGGUGACGGCUCACCUAGGCGACGAUCCCUAGCUGGUCUGAGAGGAUGACCAGCCACACUGGAACUGAGACACGGUCCAGACUCCUACGGGAGGCAGCAGUGGGGAAUAUUGCACAAUGGGCGCAAGCCUGAUGCAGCCAUGCCGCGUGUAUGAAGAAGGCCUUCGGGUUGUAAAGUACUUUCAGCGGGGAGGAAGGCGAUAAGGUUAAUAACCUUGUCGAUUGACGUUACCCGCAGAAGAAGCACCGGCUAACUCCGUGCCAGCCGCCGCCGUAACAC